rnacentral:rRNA from 1 species
UUUAACUGAGCGUUCAGUUACUUGACGUAGACCCGAAACCGGGCGACCUACCCAUGAGCAGGAUGAAGCGAAAGUAAAAUUUCGUGGAGGUCCGAACCCACGAGCGUUGAAAAGCUCGGGGAUGACUUGUGGGUAGCGGUGAAAUUCCAAUCGAGCCCGGAGAUAGCUGGUUCUCCCCGAAAUAGCUUUAGGGCUAGCCUCAAGGUGAGAGAUACGGAGGUAGAGCACUGAAUGUCCUAGGGGGUAUUGCACCUACCGAAGACUAUCAAACUCCGAAUGCCGUCAUCUUAUACUUGGGAGUCAGACUGUGGGUGAUAAGAUUCAUAGUCGAAAGGGCAACAGCCCAGAUCGUCAGCUAAGGUCCCUAAAUGUAAGUUAAGUGGUAAAGGAUGUGGGAUUGCACAGACAACCAGGAUGUUGGCUUAGAAGCAGCCACUCAUUCAAAGAGUGCGUAAUAGCUCACUGGUCGAGUGAUCCUGCGCCGAAGAUUUCCGGGGCUAAAACUUACUACCGAAGCUACGGCAUCAGUAAUGAUGGGUAGGGGAGCUUCCCAUACGGGUUGAAGCAUGACCGUAAGGACAUGUGGACAGGAUGGGAGUGAGAAUGUUGGCAUGAGUAGCGAGAUGUGGGUGAGAAUCCCACAGGCCGUAAACCCAAGGUUUCCAGGGGAAGGUUCGUCCGCCCUGGGUUAGUCGGGACCUAAGCUGAGGCCGAAAGGCGUAGGUGAUGGACAACAGGUUGAUAUUCCUGUACUACCGAU